rnacentral:rRNA from 1 species
AACUUUCAACAACGGAUCUCUUGGUUCUGGCAUCGAUGAAGAACGCAGCGAAAUGCGAUAAGUAAUGUGAAUUGCAAAAUUCAGUGAAUCAUCGAAUCUUUGAACGCACAUUGCGCCCGCCAGUAUUCUGGCGGGCAUGCCUGUCCGAGCGUCAUUUC